rnacentral:lncRNA from 1 species
AAGACUUCACGCGGAAGUUUCUGUGAAGCCUGAAAUGCUUCAUUCUUCACUCCGACGAAAAACACAAACACAGAAAAUGAUUUUCGCCUAAGCUGAACAUGAAGAAUAGGUUUCACCAGAACCAGAUCCACACUUCAAACCCCCCUUAAUAGUACGGCGUUCCUAUACUCAAGUGAAGAAAAAAGCUACGGGAAAACCUAUGAAGAAAGCUACGCUUCACAUUCUUCACCGUUCUUCACUGAGUUCUUCAUACUUCAAGCCAGUACCUGUACUUCAAUUUUUAGGGGUCGUCGAUGCUGGUUAAACCAACU